CUCCCCCUCCCCCUUCCCUCUCCUUCUGCUUGUGCUCUCUCUGAGAGAUAAAUAAAAUCUUUUAAAAACCCCACAAAAACAAGCAGACAAACACAAACUCAUGUCUUACCAAAUAGCAUAGUAGUCAAGAGUGGGAAAUGCGGGGGCAAACCUCCUGAGUUGGAAACCCAGCUCUGAUACAUCACUUACAUGCUCCGUGACUUUGAGAAGAUUACUUCACGGAUCUGUAGCUCAGUUUUUCAAACUAUAAUAUGAGAAAAAUAAUGGCUCCUACUUCAUAGAAACACUAUGAGGAUGAAAAGAGGAACUGAUUCUGAUACUUUGAGGACAGAAACAGAUGUGGCAGAGAAUUUUGGUGGUGGAAAGGUGCUGAUGAGACCAGCCAGAUCACACGGUGCUCCUAGCACUCCAGCAUGCUGACUUUUGCUGGAGUGAUACAUCAGGACUUAUAGCCAAAUUGUCUCUUGGGGGCAAACCAUCACUGAUGGGGCAGCAAGUCUGUCCUUGGGGUGCUCUUUUUGGGCCUUGCUUCUCUGCCUCAGAGCAUUCUAUAGAAUAAGUGUACAGUGGGCUGUGGGAUGGGUGACUCUAAAGGCCACCAGAGAGAUUAUAGACAGUCGGAGUGAACUGCAGAGAGCCAAAGACCUCCAUACAGUGACAUCUGACUUCAAGUAAGAGAUUCCUCUGGCCAUGGAAGAGUGCUGGUAUAUUUUGUGGAUAGCCUGGAUAUGCUGAGGACAUGACAACUGGCAACUCUGAUAACAACCCUCAAUCAAUGAUGAAUGGAAGUUGGUGGAAAAUACUGGUUUCCUUGUCCCUCUGAGGAGCGAUCUGCACUGUGUCCCCAUGCUGCCCAGGGAAACUGAGCCAAGUUGUUCUGAGCAUUAAUCAGUUGCUUUACAUAACUUAAUAUUGACCCUCUUCCCUUCAUGGGCUCAUACCCUCAGUCUCUGGAAUCACUUCCUGUCAGUUUGGUUUCCUAAGAAACAAACCCUGAAGUUCUGAGAUUUUAUAUACAGAAGGCUUACUGGAGAGUACUUUCUCCAUAUGUGAACACAGAUCAAGCAGGAUUGGGCAGAGAGAAAAGCUGAAGCUAACACCUGAGGCCCUUGGUGACACAGGGAGGGAGCUCCAAGGUUAGAAAGGCCUUCAGACAUUUCCCUCACUGAGACAUAGAUGGUAGGCCUAGGCCUGCAUAUCCUCUGCAUGGACUACUCAUUAAAUGUGGGCUGCUGCCAGGGAGGGGAUGACCUCCCAUGAGGAGCUCUCUUCAGCUGAGUAUAGAUCCUGAAGAGGAACUCACCUGAGAGCCAGCUUCAGCCCACACUCAUAGGUAUAUUGGAUUGAGUAUGUCAUUCUUGAAGGGGGGGUAUAAACUGCAUAGUACAGCAUCUACUGUAGUUGCCAAUAAACUACUUGCAUCAA